rfam:Myotis brandtii contig322040, whole genome shotgun sequence.
CAUGCACCAGUGGGGUCCCUUGGCCUGGCCUGCGGGAUCGGGCUGAAAUCAGCUCUCCGACAUCCCCCAAGGGUUUCUGGAUUGCGAGAGGGUGUAGGCCAGGCCGAGGGACCCCACUGGUGCAUG